rnacentral:rRNA from 1 species
UACGAGGGGUGCAAGCGUUGCUCGGAAUUAUUGGGCGUAAAGGGUAGGUAGGUGGUCUCAUUUGUCGGGGGUGAAAGCCUUGUGCUUAACACAAGAAGUGCCCCCGAAACGGUGAGACUCGAGUCUUUGGAGAGGGUUGCGGAAUUCCCGGUGUAGCGGUGAAAUGCGUAGAGAUCGGGAGGAACACCAGAGGCGAAGGCGGCGAACCUGGACGAAGAUACUGCACUCAACUACGAAAGCGUAGGGGAGCGAAACAACGGAUUGAGAA